AGUAAAAAAAGAAAAAAAAAAAAAAAAAAAGAAAAAAGCCAGGCCGCAGGCUGACCAGAGCCGCCCUGUUUGAUAUCUCUUUUGCAAUUGUACCGAAAGUGACUUACUCCUGCCCUCCCGCUUCCGUCUCUUGCCGGUGCCGUGGUGUCGUCCGUGCCUGGUGAGGUUUCGUGCAGCCGUGAAGUGCUGGUGCUUCUGGUGACCUUUGACCUGUGGGUGUCACUUCUGUGUGUGUUUCCCGUGUUUGUUCUUUUGGCUUCGGUUGUGUUUUUGCUUCUGCUGGCUUGCUGGGCCAGGCCUGGCAGGGGCUGGGCUGCUGAUUCCCCUGAGCUGGGGGGUCUGUCUGACAGCCCCAGGUUUUCUGCCAGCACCGGCCCUGGCCCGGUGCUCAGCUGCUCGGCCUCGGGCCUCUGCUGCCCUCCCCUGCUCAGCCUUGGCUUCUUGUGUGUGUCUAGGGCUUAUGCUGACCCAGAGGCAGGGCAGGUGACUGGGGCCUCCUGUGCUGCUUCCACACCCACCACCUGUGGCCCUGGGUGGUGGCAUUGCAGGGACCGAGGUGUCACUGUGGGUACCCACGGGCCGCGGCCAUGCGGUCCUCAGCUGUCUUCCUCCUGGCCUCCAAUCUCCGUGCUUGGCUGCAGUCUGGGCCCUAGGUGGAGCCUCAGUGGGGGGCACCAAGGGCCCACCGCCCAGGAGCUGUGUUCCCCCCAGCCUAGGGUGGCGCUGCCCAGACCAGGAACGGUUCCUUUUCCCUGGUCCUGGGGGCACCACCAGUGCUUGGCCGGGGCUGUGCUCACCAGGGCUGGUCCCAACCCUCACCCUGUCCGUGCUGGUGGCUCUUAGCUUGGGCUCUCUUCCCAUCCCCUUUGGGCGUCUUCCAGGGAUCAGCUGCCUGGCUUUCGGAGGUGCUUUUCCCCGGGCCAGCUACCCCCUUCCCUGUCCCAGCUGCUCAGUGGAGGCUACGACCUCCCAGUCAGGACCAGGAGGCUCCCUGUAGGUGCAUGGCGGGGUCACAGGUAGCCCAGAGGCUGCAGCCCUGUGUCUGGCCACGUGGACUGCGGGCUCUCUCCCAGACUGCUGGUGUCUCCGAGGGGCCCUGAGCGGACCUCUGAAGAGCAUAGAAGGAGGCGUGAGCUGGUGAGGAGGGCUGGCCCGCCGGGGUUUACCUCGAACCAGCAGAUUUGCUCACAAGCCUGCCCCAUCGAGCCUGCGAGAUAGAAGACAGCAAUCUGUGGGCCGUGGCCAUCCAGAAUCCAGACCUGAGUUGCUGACGUGGCCAUCGCCGCAGGGAGGGGGCUUGUCCCUCAGUAUGCCUACAGAAGUGAGGAGCAGGGCCAGGUGCUCACUCUGUCCUAGCUGGGGGUGGCUGUCCAUCUCAGAAACUGCCAGGCUGCAGGCCCAGCUCACAGGUGAGGAGGUGAGGGAGUAGCAGAGUUUGGAGGUGGGUUCCCGGUUUGGGUGGCAGAGCAGUGUCUGUCGCUAGCGAGGAUGUGCUUCCUUUCAAGGCUUCGAGUUUGGACCCUGUUCCUGGGUCUGGGGGAGUGUUCUCGUUUCCUGUCCUGCCAGCUUGGGCCCACUCCCCUCUUUCCCCCUCACCGUGACCCCUUGACCGUAGACCCCAUGUCCACGUGUGACUGUUGGCUGUCCUCCUGGCCUCGUUAAUUCCGUUUUCCUACUGUGAGAGUGCCGUGUUCUCAGCUUUGCCACACAGCGAAUCGAAGGCGUUUGCCGAGACUGGAGCUCCCAAACUUGUCCGCCAAGUAACCGUCUUGUGCACCUUCCCUCCUGCCUUGACUCUGCCCCCACUUCCCCUGUACUCCAACGUGGACACUUGGUUUCAAAGAAAAGCCCAGCAGACACAGGUCAGCUCUUGGCCAAAGAGUGGACCCAGGGAGAACUCCCGGUGGUCCCUGGCAGCUGUUGCCAAGGACCGUGCCGUCAGUGCAGGUGCUUUGUGGGGGCUCCCGGCCUCUCUCCUGGUCCGUGCUGUGCUGCAGACCCGUGCACACCGCUGAUCUGCAGUGGCCUUGGUGGUUAGUGCCUGGGCCUGUCAUGCUCAUCGACUGUGCUUGGGACCGGCGGUCAGGCCUCUUGUAUCCCUGUGGCCUCCCUCACUUGAGCAGCUUCCUGGCCAGAGCUCCCGUCUGUAGCUGGGAAGAGUGAGCUGCAGCCUGCUGCACGGUUUCCGCUCUGGGAUCUUGUAAGUUACUUUUUUAGGCUGUGGUUUGGUGAAAGCAACCAACACGUUAACGAUCUUUCUUCCUCAGAAGCCACUGGAUACUUUUGAGGGUGUUUGCCUUCCUGUUGGCCAUCCGUUUUGGAGCCAUUGGGGAGUGGACUAGGCGAUCGUGCCACAUGUAGCAGGAGCAUGCCUCCUCUGGCCUGUGUCCUGGGCAUGUGCUCUGCCAGUCCCACCCCAGCUUCAGCCUGGGGACAGCAGCUUUGAUACCAUGGUGUGCCCGAGGACAGGCCAAGUGUAAGAAUGUCCCGGAUGGACCUCAAGACUGGUCCAGCACCUCCGUCCCGCCCUGCGCUCCCGCCGGUACCCUCAAUCUGCUAGUCCUGAAGCCUUUAACCAAACGGGAGUGGCACCGAAGCCUCUCCUGGCAGCUUAGGCAGCAGGACAGGGCUGCCCGCCCCGCCCGGGCGGAUCCGGGGAGGUGGGUGUGGAGUGCCCUGGGGUCUGCUCUGCGGGGGUACAAGACCCCAGCGAGGGGGCCAGCCACCCUGCCCCGUGCAGUAUUUAUUGCUAAGUUAUUGUCCAGGAGGGGCGGCGCUGGGCCUGGCCCCCCCGGGUAUUUAUUGCUGUACAUAGUGUAUGUUUGUGAUAUAUAAGGUUUUCUUUAUUUUGUAUAUGAUCAAUAAACACCUUUUAAAGAGA